rnacentral:rRNA from 1 species
UACGGAGGGUGCAAGCGUUAAUCGGAAUCACUGGGCGUAAAGCGCGCGUAGGUGGCUAUUUAGGUCAGAUGUGAAAGCCCUGGGCUCAACCUGGGAAUGGCAUUUGAUACUGGAUAGCUAGAGUAUGGUAGAGGUGAGUGGAAUUCCGAGUGUAGAGGUGAAAUUCGUAGAUAUUCGGAAGAACACCAGUGGCGAAGGCGGCUCGCUGGACAAGUAUUGACGCUGAGGUGCGAAAGCGUGGGGAGCAAACAGG